AGUUAAGAUUUGCGUCGCCUUCAGCUUUGGAUUUAACAAACGUUGUCAAAACUGUGGUGUGAGUGUGAGUAGAGAGAGAGAGAGAGAGAGAGAGAGAGAGAGUUUUAGGUUAAGAUUUGCGUCGCCUUCAGCUUUGGAUUUAACAAACGUUGUCAAAACUGUGGUGUGAGAGAGAGAGAGAGAGAGAGAGAGAGAGCAAAAGGGGUUUUUUCAUUCAUUAUAACGUUUUGAACAAUCAGCAGAAUUUGGGGUAGAGCUUUGGCUACGUCUUUGUUGCUAAGUGAGAAGAGUAUAUAGGAAGCGCAGAGAGAAAAGUUCGAAAGAGAGAAAAUAGGAGGAAGAGAGACACAGAAAAAAGAAGAAGAAAUCGAAAUGGCAAUGGGUAUGGCUAGUAAGACAGCAGGAGAUUGGGCCUUCAGGGCCUUCACGACGGGUCUAGCCUGCGGUACCUUGUACUUCGCCUACGGUUUCUCUGUCAACGUCUACAGAGGCAUUUCCUGGCACAAAGCUCAUAAAAUCGAGAAGGCAGCUCCCACAAAGCAAGCCCCGUGACUCAGAAUUGUGUUGCCAUCUUGAAUCCUACAUAUUACUUUUCUUGUCAAAUGUUGAAUAUGAACAUUCGUAUUUGCUCUUCAAUGGUCACCUGAUAGAGUAAGUUAAAUGUGUGGGCAAUAAGGGUCAACUGCUAGAACUAUUUUUCCAAAUUUUGUGGAGAUCUUUGUUAUUUGGAGGCAGCAGUUUGGAACACUUAGGGGCUGUUUGGUACAAGAUCUUAAACACAUGUUUUCAAUUUUUAAACAAUAUUACACGUAUUUUCACACAUUUUUUUACACACAUGUAUUUUCAAAAAAACUGAAAACUGUUGUUUAAACACACAUAUCAAAUAGGCCCUUAUCUCUUAAACUGAAUGUGAUUUGGGUUUACCGUGUGCUCUUACUUUUCUUGUUCUGCAGUUCUGCCUGUAGAAAUUCAGCUGCUAGAAAUUUAUCUUGAUAAUAUCUAGGAUAGGAUCUGAGAUCAACAGACAUUGCACGGGCAUUUGAGGAGGGUUUCCCAUUAAUUAAUUUGUCACUUAUUUAUUCCCAAAAAUAAAGGCAUGCAUUUUUUUGAUA